rnacentral:rRNA from 1 species
GAUGAACGCUGGCGGCAGGCCUAAUACAUGCAAGUCAAGGGGCCCGCCUUUGGGCGGGGCACCGGCGGACGGGUGAGCAGCGCGUACACAACGUGCCCCUGACCGGGGGACAGCGGCGGGAAACUGCCGGUAACACCCCAUGGCGCCGCGGGGCGGCAUUGCCCGGCGGCGAAAGUUUCGGCGUCGGGGAUCGGUGUGCGUCCGAUUAGGUAGUUGGCGGGGUG